GACGAACGCUGGCGGCGUGCCUAAUACAUGCAAGUCGAACGCUUCUUUCUUAUCGAACUUCUAGUUCACCAAGAAAGAGGAGUGGCGGACUGGUGAGUAACACGUGGGUAACCUGCCCUUUAGCGGGGGAUAACAAUUGGAAACAGGUGCUAAUACCGCAUAAUCUUUUUUCUCGCAUGAGAGAAAAGUGAAAGACGCUUUUGCGUCACUAAAGGAUGGACCCGCGGUGCAUUAGCUAGUUGGUGUGGUAACGGCUCACCAAGGCCACGAUGCAUAGCCGACCUGAGAGGGUGAUCGGCCACACUGGGACUGAGACACGGCCCAGACUCCUACGGGAGGCAGCAGUAGGGAAUUUUCGGCAAUGGACGAAAGUCUGACCGAGCAACGCCGCGUGAGUGAAGAAGGUUUUCGGAUCGUAAAACUCUGUUGUUAGAGAAGAACAAGGAUGAGAGUAGAAUGUUCAUCCCUUGACGGUAUCU
rnacentral:rRNA from 1 species